rnacentral:rRNA from 1 species
GUGCCAGCAGCCGCGGUAAUACGGAGGGGAGCUAGAUUACUGGGCGUAAAGCGCACGUAGGCGGCUUUGUAAGUAAGAGGUGAAAGCCCAGAGCUCAACUCUGGAAUUGCCUUUUAGACUGCAUCGCUUGAAUCAUGGAGAGGUCAGUGGAAUUCCGAGUGUAGAGGUGAAAUUCGUAAAUAUUCGGAAGAACACCAGUGGCGAAGGCGGCUGACUGGACAUGUAUUGACGCUGAGGUGCAAAAGCGUGGGGAGCAAACAGGAUUAGAUACCCUGGUAGUCC